UUAUCUAUAGUUACACUAUUUCCAAAGGUAGCUUCAGUAAUAGAUCCAUUAUAAAUCAUUUCAUGGGGGAUUUCGAUAAUAUCCAUUCCUAAAUGAAAACUGCUAUCCAGUUUGCCAUCUCCAAGUUUUACUAAUCAUUCACUAUAAG